CCGGGUUCGGAGGGCCUGUUGGAGCGGCUCGCGCGGGCUCCUCGCGGGCAGGCAGACGAGGACACGGAAGCUCAGGGAAGAGGCCCACAGGUCCUCAGUGGCCCCAUUGACCUCAUCGCUCACCCGCCUUGCUGCCUGCCCCAUCGUGCGCACAUUGUUGCCUCUGCCCGGAACGCCCCUGCCAGUUGCUCUUGGCAUGACCGGCUCCUCCUGAGCUGCCUACUUACCCAGCUCCUCCCCAGAGCCUAGCAGCCCCUGUUCACGUCCCUCAGAGCGCUCAUCGCCUGUGGAACAUUGGACGCCCCACCGGACUUUAAGGUCCAAGGAUCGGGCCCAUUUUGUCCUGUCCUCUGGCACAUAGUAGGUGCUCAACCACUUCAGAAUGAAGUGAACGAAAGAAGUAGCCUGCUUCUCACAGCUCUUGAGGACAGAGUCUGGAUGGAACCCAAACCAGGACACCCCAAAGCUGGAGCUCCCUCCCCAGCUCCCUUGCUUCAGACACCACCGGCAGGCACUUCAGAGCGUGUGAAUGAAAGGAGGAAGGAAUGAAUGAAACCAGGAUUUCAGGAUCCCAGUCCAGUGCUCUCUGGGCCAGACCUGCUUCACUUCCUGGCAGCGUGGACGCGAGCCAAGCUCCAGCCGCCUCGGAGGGUGGCGGGCUGACGGGCCGCCUGAAGCCGGCUGUCAGGAGCUCGUCUGGCCACAGCCGCCAGCAGGGGAGACCAGCUGGCGGUGCAGGGUCCAUCGGCCCAGGCCUGGAAUCUGAGCCGCCCUGAGAGGCCCAGCUUCUCUCCAGGCCCCCACAAACUGGCCUUUGUUCCCCGGGCCGGCCAAGGCUCAGCAGCUCGGGGCUUUCUCUCAGCCUGCGGCACCCGCGCCGAGCCGGCGGGGUAAACGGCCAGCCUCCCCUCUGUCCGGGCCCACGAUGUCGCUUCGGCACUAAAUGGAGAUGUAAUUUUCUAUACAAAUCCAUGACAAUUUAGAUGGAGUGAUUGUAAUUGGCUUUUCAAUGGGGGUUUUGUCCAGUGCUGGUGGCUAGAACUGGGUGGCCUGUUUGAGGCAGGCACCAUUUAAAUGACAAUAAAGCAAUAAUAUUGAGGA